UAGGGAAUCUUCGGCAAUGGGGGGAACCCUGACCGAGCAACGCCGCGUGAGUGAAGAAGGUUUUCGGAUCGUAAAGCUCUGUUGUUAAGGAAGAACGAGUGUGAGAAUGGAAAGUUCAUACUGUGACGGUACUUAACCAGAAAGGGACGGCUAACUACGUGCCAGCAGCCGCGGUAAUACGUAGGUCCCGAGCGUUGUCCGGAUUUAUUGGGCGUAAAGCGAGCGCAGGCGGUUAGAUAAGUCUGAAGUUAAAGGCAGUGGCUCAACCAUUGUAGGCUUUGGAAACUGUUUAACUUGAGUGCAGAAGGGGAGAGUGGAAUUCCAUGUGUAGCGGUGAAAUGCGUAGAUAUAUUGAGGAACACCGGUGGCGAAAGCGGCUCUCUGGUCUGUAACUGACGCUGAGGCUCGAAAGCGUGGGGAGCGAACAGG
rnacentral:rRNA from 1 species